UGUCACACCCCUUUCUGCGGCGGAAGCACGAGGUGUGAUCAUGAAAGGUUCUCAUUGCAUACGAAAGUACAAGGAACAUAAAAAUGUAGAAGAUUUAGAAAGCCAAGCGUUCUAUAGGUUCCACCGCUUUUCAUCGGGCUAGAGAAAGAGAUAGGGUUGCAGCAUAGAGAGAUAGAAAGCUAGAUAGAUCUUUCAUGAAGAAACAAGAAUCACACACCAAUGUAUUAGAUGAAUUCCGGCGAUGAAGAUGAUGAUGGUAGUUGUAUCAGUGGAGCGUUGGUAGUGCCUGCUAAUAGAGGUGAUGGUAACAUGUUUGAGACGAGUGGUGGUGACAGUAAAGGCUUUGAUCGCUUCCAGCGAGUUUUUCGACUAUCAUCGGCUGACUACUAGAAGAGGAGAUGACCUAAGUCGCCAAGGAUAGAAGGCGUGACGACACCAACUUUCGUGCGAAGAUUAACAUGCAGGGAUCUUUUGAUGUUUGGUAUCAAAGUAUGUAAACAUUAAACACACAAACCAUACAUGUGACGCGGGAAAUCUAAAAACAACGUAUUAAUGGUUUAUAAUCACAUAUGCUAACCACAAUGUAAAUCGCGCAACGCGCGACUGGAAAUGACCCUAGUAUAGUUUAAUUUAGAUUCAUAAAUUUCUAAAAUGUC
rnacentral:lncRNA from 1 species